UUAGGGUUAAGGUGGAUUAGACACACCUCAACAUGGCCAUAGGGUCUUGAAGCUUCACAGGUGAAUCCCAUGCCUUGAGUUUGUGGAUUAUUAAGGGUCAUUAAGUACAAAUGCAUAUGAGAUGACAUGUAUAGGAUGUAUGCUCAUGGAUUAGGAUUCAAGAAGGUGAAGUGAGAGUAGGGUAAAUUUGAGGGUAUGUCAGUUG
rnacentral:lncRNA from 1 species